UGAGAAUAAUUAGAUCAAACCUCCAUUUCUUGGACCCGUUGAUGUUUAGAGUUUUUGACUGUUCAAGCAUGCAGCGCAUAGGACUGCAUACGGGCCUUAGACUUCUAAAACAAAAGAACAAUUACAUGUAUUCUUUGUUUGUAAAACUAUGUUAACGAUAUUGAAACAAUUUAGUACCAGUAGUUGUGAGCAAUUUGUAACGUGACUCCCCGAUAUUUCCGCCGCGUGUUGUUAU
rnacentral:lncRNA from 1 species